GCGUCGGUGGUACAUGGUGCACGCUGCCCUUCAAUCAAGAACCCUGUCAAUAGUUCAGGCAGACCGGGGUUCGAUUCCCCGCCGGUGCA